CUCCUGUUUUCCCUCUUCUCUCUAAACCCCACAAACCCUAACACCUCUCAUUCUUCAUAAUUAUCUUCUUCAUUCUCUCUCCAAAACAUUGAAGAUGAGGGUUCAGAAAUCUGAGGGUAAGAACAUGUUGUGGGGUGUGUGUUAAACGACGACAGAGUUUUGGGAAGAGUGGCACCGAGAAGCUUCGUCUGGAAUCGGCGGAGACAAUCGACAUUGAGUGUAGGAAGGAGUGUUCUGGUUUUCUGAUUUUGAGUAAGGAGGUUUUUUGCUACAAAAGAGGUUUUUUGCUAUUGCUGAAACAGGGCCAGAAAUUAAGACUGUUUUAGAAGUCGAAUGUAAGGUCGGUGAAGAGAUAGCCGAUAAUUCAUGGUAUCUUAUUUUGCUCAAUGUUCAAUUCUUUUUCCAUAUGCAUUCAGGGCCUCAUUCAUGGUCUAUUAUUUUGAUGACUUUUAUUUCAUUUAUUCAUCCAUAGAGUUUUAUAAAGUGAAAUUAUACUACUUAGAUUUUUUAUAUCAGUUUUUCAUGGUCUGUUACUUUCCUACAUAACGAGAAUAAAAGUCAACUUGAAUCUAUGAAAUGGUUAAAUAUUAAUAUCAGUCGUGAUAUCUGGCAAUUUUUGAAAUUUGAUGGAAAUGCUGUCAUUUGAGAGAUGUACUAUUACUUCAUUUCAAAGAAUUGACUUACCUUAUGUUUUGAUUUUCAAAAUUUUGUACCAUUGGAGAAAAGUCAGGACUGUAUUGGGCUCCUAUCUUUGUCAGGCAAUCCAAUUUUAGACUCCCAGCUGAUAAUAAAGUGCCUGUAAUUAUGAUAGGUCCUGGCACUGGGUUGGCUCCUUUCCGAGGUUUCUUGCAGGAAAGAUUAGCUCUGAAAGAAGAUGGAGCUGAACUGGGCCCCUCUGUUUUAUUCUUUGGAUGUAGGAACCGUUCAGUGGACUAUAUUCAUGAAGACGAAUUGAACCACUUUGUUAAUGGUGGUGCACUUUCUGAGCUCAUUGUUGCCUUCUCACGAAAUGGCCCACAAAGGAAUAUGUCCAACAUUAAAUGAUGGAGAAGGGUAUGGCUAGGGAUAUGUACACUGCACUCUGCAUGCAAUUUUGCAAGAGCAGGCCUGGGGUUGGCACUACUGCUAUGAGAGAGAUUGCUCGUGUAAUGUCAGAUGACUUUCACAAAAUAGUGGUAAAUUGAUUUUGCAGCAUCUCACUGCAAGCCGUUUUUUUUUCUUCCUAAAAGUAGUGUUAUAAAUCAGUUCAUGAUAGAAUGAAUUCUUGAUUGAGAUGAGAGACAGACACUCCUGGCUUACACAUCAGGUGUGUUAAUUUGAGCUUUUAUUACUUAAUUCAUGAAAUGUUCAUAACUUCAUAU